rnacentral:rRNA from 1 species
ACUUCGUGCCAGCAGCCGCGGUAAAACGGAGGGGGCUAGUGUUACUCAACUUGACUGGGCGUAAAGGGCGUGAAGGUGGUAUAGUACGUUUUUUUGUAAAUACUCAAACAUAAUUUGAGGGUCUUUAAAAUACGGCUGUGCUUGAGUUUAUUUGAAGAAAGUUGUACUUCUAGUGUAGAGGUGAAAUUUGCAAAAAUUAGAAGGACAGUCUACGGGCGAAAGCGACUUUCUACUAUAAACUGACACUAUAGCGCAAAAGCAUAGGUAGCAAACGGGAUUAGAGACCCCGGUAGUCUAUGCAGUGACCGAUGAAUACUGAAUGCUCUUGACCGUAAGAGAGUAUUUAAGCUAACGCGUAAGUAUUCCGCCUGGGAACUACAACCGCAAGGUUCAAACUUAAAGGAAUUGACGGAGGGCUAUUUCAGCGGUGGAGCAUGUGGUUUAAUCCGAUAGUACGCGUAAAAUCUUACCAAUUUUUGUUAAUAUGGCUGGUUAAAAUUUUUUUGAUUUUAACGUAGUGAUUAAAAAUUUUGUUUUUUUAUUAUACCAUAUGCAGGUGUUGCAUGGUUGUCGUCAGUUCGUGUUGUGAAAUGUUUGGUUAAUUCCUUUAACGAACGCAACUCUUUGUACUUUUUAGAAUAAAAUUAUGUAAAAUUAAUUUUAUUUUUUAGUAUUAUAAUUAAUGAAAAUUAAUUACAUAGGAGGAUGUCAAAUCGUCAUGUCCCUUAUAAAUUGGGCUACACACGUGCUACAAUGGUUGGUACAGAGGGUCGCUACUUAGUAAUAAGAUGCCAAUCUCCAAAGCCAAUCACAGUUCGGAUUGGGGUCUGCAACUCGACCCUAUGAAGCUGGAAUCGCUAGUAAUCGCGUAUCAGCAAUGACGCGGUGAAUACGUUCCCGGACCUUGUACACACCGCCCGUCAAGCCAUGAAAGUCUGGUAGACCUGAAGCUGGUUGUCAAAACGCCAGUUAGGGUAGAACAGGUAAUUGGGGCUAAGUCGGAACAAGGUAGCCGUACCG